GCGGCGAAGAGCGCCCGGCGCACGGUUCGGCGAUCGAAUCGCCGGCGGCCGGGUACCGGGGUCCGGGCGUCGCCGGUCGCUCCCGCGUCCGCGGCA
rnacentral:tRNA from 2 species